rnacentral:tRNA from 1 species
GAAUAUGAAGCAAUUUAUGCAGUUAGUUUCGACCUAACCAAAUGAUAUUAAAUUAUCCUUAUUCU